UGACCCUAUGUAGCCAGGUCCCAUCUACUAUCCUUCUGACCCUAUGUAGCCAGGUCCCAUCUACUAUCCUUCUGACCCUAUGUAGCCAGGUCCCAUCUACUAUCCUUCUGACCCUAUGUAGCCAGGUCCCAUCUACUAUCCUUCUGACCCUAUGUAGCCAGGUCCAUCUACUAUCCUUCUGACCCUAUGUAGCCAGGUCCCAUCUACUAUCCUUCUGACCCUAUGUAGCCAGGUCCAUCUACUAUCCAUCUGACCCUAUGUAGCCAGGUCCAUCUACUAUCCAUCUGACCCUAUGUAGCCAGGUCCAUCUACUAUCCUUCUGACCCUAUGUAGCCAGGUCCAUCUACUAUCCUUCUGACCCUAUGUAGCCAGGUCCAUCUACUAUCCUUCUGACCCUAUGUAGUCAGGUCCAUCUACUAUCCUUCUGACCCAGGUCCAUCUACUAUCCUUCUGACCCUAUGUAGCCAGGUCCCAUCUACUAUCCUUCUGACCCAGGUCCCAUCUACUAUCCUUCUGACCCUAUGUAGCCAGGUCCCAUCUACUAUCCUUCUGACCCUAUGUAGCCAGGUCCAUCUACUAUCCUUCUGACCCUAUGUAGCCAGGUCCCAUCUACUAUCCUUCUGACCCAGGUCCCAUCUACUAUCCUUCUGACCCUAUGUAGCCAGGUCCCAUCUACUAUCCUUCUGACCCAGGUCCCAUCUACUAUCCUUCUGACCCUAUGUAGCCAGGUCCAUCUACUAUCCUUCUGACCCUAUGUAGCCAGGUCCCAUCUACUAUCCUUCUGACCCAGGUCCCAUCUACUAUCCUUCUGACCCUAUGUAGCCAGGUCCCAUCUACUAUCCUUCUGACCCAGGUCCCAUCUACUAUCCUUCUGACCCAGGUCCAUCUACUAUCCUUCUGACCCAGGUCCAUCUACUAUCCUCCUGACCCAGGUCCAUCUACUAUCCUUCUGACCCAGGUCCAUCUACUAUCCUUCUGACCCUAUGCAGCCAGGUCCCAUCUACUAUCCUUCUGACCCUAUGUAGCCAGGUCCAUCUACUAUCCUUCUGACCCAGGUCCAUCUACUAUCCUUCUGACCCAGGUCCAUCUACUAUCCUUCUGACCCUAUGCAGCCAGGUCCCAUCUACUAUCCUUCUGACCCAGGUCCAUCUACUAUCCUUCUGACCCAGGUCCAUCUACUAUCCUUCUGACCCAGGUCCAUCUACUAUCCUCCUGACCCAGGUCCAUCUACUAUCCUCCUGACCCUAUGUUGCCAGGUCCCAUCUACUAUCCUUCUGACCCUAUGUAGCCAGGUCCCAUCUACUAUCCUUCUGACCCUAUGUUGCCAGGUCCAUCUACUAUCCUUCUGACCCUAUGUAGCCAGGUCCCAUCUACUAUCCUUCUGACCCUAUGUAGCCAGGUCCAUCUACUAUCCUUCUGACCCUAUGUAGCCAGGUCCAUCUACUAUCCUUCUGACCCAGGUCCAUCUACUAUCCUUCUGACCCUAUGUAGCCAGGUCCAUCUACUAUCCUUCUGACCCUAUGUUGCCAGGUCCCAUCUACUAUCCUUCUGACCCUAUGUAGCCAGGUCCCAUCUACUAUCCUUCUGACCCAGGUCCAUCUACUAUCCUUCUGACCCUAUGUAGCCAGGUCCCAUCUACUAUCCUCCUGACCCUAUGUAGCCAGGUCCCAUCUACUAUCCUUCUGACCCUAUGUAGCCAGGUCCAUCUACUAUCCUUCUGACCCUAUGUAGCCAGGUCCAUCUACUAUCCUUCUGACCCUAUGUAGCCAGGUCCAUCUACUAUCCUUCUGACUCUAUGUAGCCAG